AAAGAUUAAGCCAUGCAUGUCUAAGUAUAAGCAAUUAUACGGCGAAACUGCGAAUGGCUCAUUAUAUAAGUUAUCGUUUAUUUGAUAGUACCUUACUACUUGGAUAACCGUGGUAAUUCUAGAGCUAAUACAUGCCAAAAAUCCCGACUCACGGAGGGAUGUAUUUAUUAGAUUAAAAACCAAUGCCCUUCGGGGCUUACUGGUGAUUCAUGAUAACUUCGCGAAUCGCAUGGCCUUGCGCCGGCGAUGGUUCAUUCAAAUUUCUUCCCUAUCAACUUUCGAUGUUUGGGUAUUGGCCAAACAUGGUUGCAACGGGUAACGGAGGGUUAGGGCUCGACCCCGGAGAAGGAGCCUGAGAAACGGCUACUACAUCCAAGGAAGGCAGCAGGCGCGCAAAUUACCCAAUCCCGACUCGGGGAGGUAGUGACAAUAAAUACUGAUACAGGGCUCUUUAGGGUCUUGUAAUUGGAAUGAGUACAAUUUAAAUCCCUUAACGAGGAACAAUUGGAGGGCAAGUCUGGUGCCAGCAGCCGCGGUAAUUCCAGCUCCAAUAGCGUAUAUUAAAGUUGUUGUGGUUAAAAAGCUCGUAGUUGAACCUUGGGCCUGGCUGGCCGGUCCGCCUCACCGCGUGCGCUGGUCCGGCCGGGCCUUUCCCUCUGUGGAACCCCAUGCCCUUCACUGGGUGUGGCGGGGAAACAGGACUUUUACUUUGAAAAAAUUAGAGUGCUCCAGGCAGGCCUAUGCUCGAAUACAUUAGCAUGGAAUAAUAAAAUAGGACGUGCGGUUCUAUUUUGUUGGUUUCUAGGACCGCCGUAAUGAUUAAUAGGGACAGUCGGGGGUAUCAGUAUUCAAUUGUCAGAGGUGAAAUUCUUGGAUUUAUUGAAGACUAACUACUGCGAAGCAUUUAUCAAGGAUGUUUUCAUUAAUCAGGAACGAAAGUUAGGGAUCGAGACGAUCAGAUACCGUCGAUUUAUUGAAGACUACUACUGCGAAGGCAUUAUCAAGGAUGUUUUCAUUAAUCAGGAACGAAAGUUAGGGGAUCGAGACGAUCAGAUACCGUCGUAGUCUUAACCGUAAACGAUGCCGACUAGGGAUCGGACGGUGUUAUUUUUUGACCCGUCCGGCACCUUACGAGAAAUCAAAGUGCUUGGGCUCCAGGGGGAGUAUGGUCGCAAGGCUGAAACUUAAAAGAAUUGACGGAAGGGCACCACCAGGGGUGGAGCCUGCGGCUUAAUUUGACUCAACACGGGGAAACUCACCAGGUCCAGACACAAUGAGGAUUGACAGAUUGAGAGCUCUUUCUUGAUUUUGUGGGUGGUGGUGCAUGGCCGUUCUUAGUUCGUAGGGUGACCCGGCUGUUUAAUUACGAUAACGAACGAGACCUUAACCUGCUAACUAGCCCGUAUUGCUUUGGCAGUACGCUGGCUUCUUAGAGGGACUUUCGGCGCGAGUCGAAGGAAGUUUGAGGCAAUAACAGGUCUGUGAUGCCCUUAGAUGUUCUGGGCCGCACGCGCGCUACACUGACGGAGCCAGCGAGUUCUUCCUUGUCCGAAAGGUCUGGGUAAUCUUGUUAAACUCCGUCGUGCUGGGGAUAGAGCAUUGCAAUUAUUGCUCUUCAACGAGGAAUCCCUAGUAAGCGCAAGUCAUCAGCUUGCGUUGAUUACGUCCCUGCCCUUUGUACACACCGCCCGUCGCUACUACCGAUUGAAUGGCUCAGUGAGGCGUUGGGACUGGCCCAGAGAGGUGGGCAACUACCACUCAGGGCCGGAAACUUCUCCGAACUCGGUCAUUUAGAGGAAGUAAAAGUCGUAACAAGGUCUCCGUUGGUGAACCAGCGGAGGGAUCAUUACUGAGUGUAAAAACUCCCAAACCACUGUGAACAUACCAUGUUGCUUCGGCGGUUCCCGUCCUGUCCUGCCUCACCGCGAGCCAGGCCGGGCCGCCGCCGGAGGACCCAAACUCUUGUCCUUAUAGUGACUUUCUGAGUGGCAUAAGCAAAAUAAAUCAAAACUUUCAGCAACGGAUCUCUUGGUUCUGGCAUCGAUGAAGAACGCAGCAAAAUGCGAUAAGUAAUGUGAAUUGCAGAAUUCAGUGAAUCAUCGAAUCUUUGAACGCACAUUGCGCCCGCCAGUACUCUGGCGGGCAUGCCUGUCUGAGCGUCAUUUCAACCCUCGGGACCCCGUUCGCGGGACCCGGCGCUGGGGAUCAGCUUGUAAAAGAGCUGGCCCUGAAAUCUAGUGGCGGUCCGCCAGCGAUCUCCUCUGUGCAGUAGUUAAUACCUCGCAGCUGGAUAGCGGUCGGGCCACGCCGUAAAACCCCCACUUUCUCAAGGUUGACCUCAGAUCAGGUAGGAAUACCCGCUGAACUUAA
rnacentral:rRNA from 1 species